GGUUAAGCGACUAAGCGUACACGGUGGAUGCCCUGGCAGUCAGAGGCGAUGAAGGACGUGCUAAUCUGCGAUAAGCGUCGGUAAGGUGAUAUGAACCGUUAUAGCCGGCGAUUUCCGAAUGGGGAAACCCAGUGUGUUUCGACACACUAUCAUUACGUGAAUACAUAGCGUAAUGAAGCGAACCGGGGGAACUGAAACAUCUAAGGAAGGUGCGAACAAGUUCCUGAUAUGAGAUCAUCAUAUUCAUCCGGAGCGCAUCCCAGAGGGACAUCAUGAGCCAUCAACUCACCUUCGCCGAUAGUGAAUUCAGCACUAAGCGCCGUCAG
rnacentral:rRNA from 1 species